GAGGACUUGAAGCAUAUGGAUAAAAGACGAAGAGACAACCAGGUUGCGUAGAGAACCCUACUGAAGUACUUUCGACGAGCAGUAGCGUCUAGACAAACACUGCCCCCAAGCCGGUUUCCAAUGCAUCAGCUUUCUACAGUAGAGGGCGCCAGAUUGCUGGUUACUCUGCCACGGAUGCAUUGCUACAAUCAAGGCAAACCAACUCUAACGUCACGGUAAAGCGUACCCCUGGAUUCCUGAGCGUCUCUAACUCAAAGAGGUUGUACCCGAUCACAAGCUACCCGGCUGGAGGCAGAAGAGCAUCCCAAAAGCAGUCAAGACGUCUCAGAUCAGUCUACAAGGAUUCUCAAAUCUUGGUAAUACGUGUUACAUGAACGCCAUUCUCCAGUCGCUAUUCUGUCUGGAAUGCUUCACUGCAGACAUGCAGAAUCAAGACAUCAUUCCACUCAUGCAGAAAUCAAGUCUCUACUGGUAAGACAUUUUGGGCCCCUCACGAUUGAGACUUGUCAGAGAAGAUGUGGCGUAAACA